rnacentral:rRNA from 1 species
AGCGGCGGACGGGUGAGUAACGCGUGGGUAACCUGCCUCGUACAGGGGGAUAACAGUUGGAAACGGCUGCUAAUAUCGCAUAAGCGCACAGUACCGCAUGGUACCGUGUGAAAAACUCCGGUGGUAUGAGAUGGACCCGCGUCUGAUUAGCUAGUUGGUGGGGUAACGGCCUACCAAGGCGACGAUCAGUAGCCGACCUGAGAGGGUGACCGGCCACAUUGGGACUGAGACACGGCCCAA